GAAGAUGACCAAGUCACCCUUUACUGGCACUUGUGAAAGGGGUGAGGGUUUAUUGGAUCUCAUACACACCGAUGUAUGCGGGCCCUUUAGAUCCACCACAAGGGAUGCUUGCCGCUUCUACGUGACUUUUACAGAUGAUUAUAGCAGAUAUGGAUAUAUCUACUUAAUCAAGCAAAAGUCAGAAACCUUUGAAAAGUUCAAAGAGUUUAAGAAUGAAGUGGAGAAUCAGCUGGGUAGGAAAAUCAAGAUGCUUCGGUCAAACCGAGGAGGAGAGUACCUAAGUCUUGAGUUUCACGACUAUCUAAAGGAAUGCGGAAUUGUUUCGCAAUUGACGCCUCCGAGGACGCCACAAUUGAAUGGUGUGGCUGAGAGACGUAAUCGGACCUUGUUGGACAUGGUUCGUUCUAUGAUGAGUCGGACUUCGUUACCAAUAGCUUUCUGGGGGUAUGCCUUAGAGACUGCCGCCCAUAUACUUAACUUAGUUCCCACCAAGAAGGUUUCCAAGACUCCUCACGAGAUGUGGACAGGGAAGGCUCCCUCGUUGGCACAUAUCAAGGUUUGGGGUUGCGAGGCUUUCGUAAGACGAGAGACUCACGACAAACUAGAACCUCGUAGUGAGAAGUGUUAUUUCAUCGGCUAUCCGCAGAAGUCUUUUGGCUACCUUUUCUAUAGACCGAGUGACAAUGUUGUCUUCGUUGCUAGAAGAGGAGUUUUCCGAGAAAGGGAAUUGAUAAGCCAAGAAGACAGUGGGAGGCAAAUUGAACUUGAAGAGAUUCAAGAUCAAAGCGAUGAAGGAACCUCUGACACUGGCACUCAACUUGAGGAGGAAACUCCUGUUGAACCUGUUGACGAGUCCUUACCUCUUCGACGUUCCACUAGGGCUAGUGUUCCACCCCAGUUUUAUGGUUUUCAUAUUACUACUGAAGGGGAUACAUUUAUUAGUGAUAGUACACUAGUAAAUUUGGAUGAACCUAGCAGCUAUAAGGAAGCCAUGGCAGGCCCGGAGUCUGCAAAAUGGAAAGAGGCUAUGGACAGCGAGAUUCAGUCCAUGUACGACAACCAAGUUUGGAAUUUGGUUGAUAAUGUACCGGGUCGUAAGACAGUCGGGUGCAAGUGGAUCUUCAAGAAGAAGACGGACAUGGAUGGGAAAGUGCAUACUUAUAAAGCGCGAUUGGUUGCGAAGGGCUUUACUCAAACUCCCGGAGUUGACUAUGAUGAGACCUUCUCACCAGUUGCGAAGAUAAAGUCUAUUAGGGUGAUGCUUGCCAUAGCUGCGUUUCAUGAUUAUGAAAUAUGGCAGAUGGACGUGAAAACCGCUUUCCUUAAUGGAAAGUUGGCUGAGGAUGUCUACAUGAAUCAGCCAGAGGGUUUUGUCGAUGUGAAGCAUCCAAAUAGAGUAUGCAAGCUUGAGAAAUCCAUUUAUGGAUUGAAACAAGCAUCUCGCAGAUGGAAUCUUUGUUUUGACGAGAAGGUUAAAGAGUUUGGCUUUCUGCGAAGCGAAGAUGAAUCUUGUGUGUAUGUCAAAGCCAGUGGGAGUAUAGUAAGCUUCCUCGUAUUGUAUGUCGACGACAUACUACUCAUAGGAAACGAUGUCCCAACCUUGCAGGAAGUCAAGUCCUGGCUUGGGAAAUGCUUCGCUAUGAAGGACCUCGGAGAAGCCGCUUAUAUUCUGGGAAUAAGAAUAGUAAGAAACAGGGAAAAGAGACUGAUAGGACUCAGUCAGGAUACAUACUUGGAAAAGGUACUAAAGCGUUUUAGUAUGGAAAAUUCCAAGAAAGGGGAGUUGCCAAUCCAAAGCAAUACCAAGCUGAGUAAGACUCAGAGCCCGAGUACAGAGACAGAGAUAGCUGAUAUGAGCCGAGUACCUUACGCUUCCGCAGUAGGCUCUAUCAUGUACGCUAUGACUUGUACUCGCCCUGAUGUGGCCUUCGCUUUAAGCAUGGUCAGCAGAUAUCAAGGGAAUCCUGGUAGGGCACAUUGGAUUGCGGUUAAGAAUAUUCUUAAGUACCUUCGGAGGACCAAGGGAUGGUUUCUAGUCCUCGGUGGGAGUGAUGACUUAAGGGUACGAGGGUACAGUGAUGCUAGUUUUCAGACGGAUCGGGAUAACUUCCGAUCGCAGUCGGGCUGGGUCUUUACCCUAAAUGGAGGAGCAGUGACUUGGAAAAGUUCCAAGCAAGAGACCGUAGCUGAUUCAACGUGCGAAUCAGAGUAUAUUGCGGCGAGCGAAGCGUCAAAGGAGGCUAUAUGGUUGAAGAACUUCAUUGGAGACCUUGGAGUUGUGCCAUCCAUAAAAGAGCCCGUGGAAAUUUUCUGUGAUAAUGAAGGAGCGGUUGCCUUAACCAAGGAACCAAGGGAUCAUGGCAGAUCUCGACAUAUCGACAGGAAAUACCACUUUAUUAGACAUCGGGUAGAAGAGGGACUCCUCGUUGUGAAGAGGGUAUCGUCAGAAGAUAACCCAGCAGAUCCCCUUACAAAGGGACUGAGUAGGGUCAAGCAUUUGCAGCACGCUAGGAGCGUAGGGCUGAAGGACGAUAUUAGUUUAGAUUAGAUAGGUAGAAAACUUGUAAUAGAUAAUGUCAUAUUCAACAAAUGAUGAUUAAAUAAAGGUGUGUUAUUUAUAAGAAAGUUUCUAUCUUGUGUUGAUUAUUUAUCUAUUGUGUCGAUUUUGCAUGUUUUGACUUCCUGAAUAAUAAGAUUAUUCGAACAGUUCACAAUCGCUCAUAUGUUGGAAGUAGAUAUGAAGGAAGAUUGUCAUAAAUUUGUUUGUAGAUUGUCUGAAAAGUUUUAGACAUAGCAAAGGUUUGCUGCAAAGUUUAUGAGUGCUUAUGAAAUUUGUAUUGAGCAUUGAAAUAGACCCACACUUGCUGGUAUUACUUCAUGAAUGUUAUCACAAGUGAUCGCAAGAUGAUAAUAUCAUAUAAUCUUUAAACCUAGAGAUAUGGUUAUUGUUUGCUAGUUGAUUAUACAUUGAUAAUGCGAAAACGCAUCAGUAACUUGAUGUUAUAAAACGUAUUAUUGUGUGUGGUUUAACUAGUAAAUGAUAAAGGCAUAUUAGUCAACGUUUUUUGUUCCUUUUAUUCUAUGAGGAUAAAAGCGAUAUCUCGGCCACUUGAUGAUUUGGUUUGACUUAUGUGCCGGGCCCGGUCAGGAUAAAGUUGAUGUGUUCAACUGAGUUCUAUGUCGAACAAAUCAGAAAUCAAGAAAUAGAAUGCUAGACAAUAAGUAUUGUUAGCAUGAUAUCUAGAACAGAGGAUUAUACGAUCCCUUAUCUAAAGGACAGAUUAUUGGUCAGAGUUGACAGCGGCUAUUGAAAGCUACGAUUGCUAUCGGGUACGGAAGUUAUACGUGAGAUAUAGUUACUAGACUUAUCCAAGUGGGAGACUGUUGGAUUAGUGUCUAAGUCAGUAACCAUAUUUGGUAUAUACUUGACCCGAGUGUGCAUGGUCCUUUUGGGUUGCCUUCACCAAAGCAACUUGACAAGGUAAUUUGAUAUGAGAGAGGAGAUAUUAUGAUUUAUUAAUAUAUUAUAAGAAUAAUAUAUUAAAGGAGAAAUCAUAUUUAUUUAAUUAGUAUUAGUCAUAAAUUAAUUAGGAAUUAAUUUGGUGACUAAAAGAGAUUAAUUAAAUAAAAGGGUAUAAACUGUCAAAUGUGUGAUAGUUGAGUUUUGGGCUAGGAAACCUAAUGGACUAAGGGGGAACGAAAUUAUGAUGAAGGAUCAUCAUAUUUUCGUCCAAAGGCCUCAUUCCAUAAGGCUCCUUGGGCUGCUUGGUGGCUAAGCUGUCCAUUAGGGUUUUGACUGAAACCCUAGCACCCUAUAGUAUAAAUACAUGCCCUAUGCUUCAAUUUGAGGCCACUUGAUUCCAAGGAAACCCUAGGGCCGAAAUUAGCAUCAUUCCCUUCUCUCUCUUUGUUGCCUUCUUGCUUCAAGGUGUUUGUGAGCCAUUAGAGGCACUACAAUUGUGGUGCUUGCUUUCAAGAGUUCAAGAGAGUUCAAGAGAUCAAGGAAACUAGUUGUUAUUGCUAUAUAACAACAAAGGUAUGUUUACUACACUUCUAUGUAAUUUUCGAAAAUUAUAGAAGCAUGCCAGGGUUUUAUUUUGUGUUCAUAAAGUUGUAUGUCUUAUAGUGAAAACAUAGAUCCAACUAGGGUUGCAUGCACACAUAGGAUUGUUUGUAUAAAACCUAACAGUGGUAUCAGAGCCAUUGGUUUUUUGUUUUCAAUUGGAUUUGAUGCAUAUUAUGAAUUUGACAAAUUAGGGUUUAUGGCAAGUAAACCCUAAGGCUUGGUGAUUUUCGCAAAUUAGGGUUGCAAAACCCUAGUUGGCGAUUUUUUUUAGAGGGUUCUUAAACUCUUUUUGCCUAGCCUCCAAAUUUCGAAAUUAGGGUUAAGAAACCCUAGGGAUUUCGAAAUUCCCUUGCCCCCCAAGAUAAGAUCCCAAGAUUUUAGGGAUUUGGAUAUUGCUAUCUUUAUGAUUAUCCAUUUAAUUGUUUAAACUAGAUAAUUGAAGAUCUUGUAUUAUCCUUUCCAUAUAUUUAAAAAUCUAGGGGAUAAAAGGAUUAAUUAAAUUAAUAAUUUAAUUUUAUGAUAAACCUUAAAGAUUUAAUAGUUCAAAUUAAUUGUUUAAUUUUGAUAAUUAUUAAAUCAAAGUUUUCUUGGUGUUUAAAAUUUUUAAAUUAAAUAGCCUUAAUAUUCGAAAAUUUUAAAUACACAUUAAGAUACUAGUAUUUUGAAAUGCUUUAAAAUACACCCUUAUACAAUUAUGAUAUUAUAAGAUUAAUUAUUAUAUAUGUAUAAGAAUAAGCUAGUCUUAUCGCUAGUAGGCCUCAUUCACGAAGCCGGUCUAUAAGGUGGGUAUAAGGUUGCUGCCUAUAAAAUGGCGCUUAAUGGAUGUACACUCACAUCUACCGCUUGCUUGACUGGUGGAGGGUCGUUAGCCGAACGGAUAGGAUAGGGCACUUAAUUCCUCAUUAAAAGUAUAAUGGAAAUAUUAAAGUAACUACAUUGUUUUACAAAUUCCCACUCUUAGUUACUUUAGGGUAAAAUGUGAAAAUGAUGCUAAUCCAUGGAAUUACACUUCGUACCCUUGUCAAACGUUGAUGGAGCGCGUGUGGUUAACCGGCACAUCAAUUUGGGGAUGACAUAGGUAGCGAAGGGUGACUCGAUGUUUGUCAUAGAUCAAUGGAGCGUGUGUGGUUUACCGGCACAUUGAUUAGGUGAUAGUGACGUUGAGUGCACCACGUUAAUUCGCAUGGUUAUUCACAAAUUUGUUUGCGAUCCUCGGCAUCCCAGUCGCAAAUGUGAAAUGCAUAUCGAGAUUUAAACAUGCCAUUGAAAAGUUCAAUGAAUCUCAAAGAUCUAGGAGUUUUCAAUACAUUUAAAACCUAAAUUGCUUUUUCGUUUUUCAUGGUGAGAAUUAGUGAAUCGUCAUUCACUUACCUUCAAGUUAUUUACUUUUAGAGUACGGCAUCCCUUUCUAAGUUGUAAAUAAUGUUGUUGGAUCCUAGCCCUAAUUUCUCAUUUGGGUGUUUAAUUAGGGAUUCAUUUCUAAUCAAGCUUUGUCCCUUUCUUUUUCAGAUGUCUGCUAACAACAACAACAACAACGCUUCUGGGUCAUUCUCGUUGAUGAACUUGUGUCAGAAAGUGACAUUUGAUGGUUCAAACUUCAACGAGUGGAUGAGAUACAUUCGCAUGAUCACACGCUACGAGGACAAAGAAUAUGUCCUCGAUGAAAAGCUUGAGAAGAUCAUCCCAGAUGUUGCUACUCCUGAGGAACUGGCCGCCUUUGAGGCCCACGAGCGUGAUGCCACGAAAGUUCACUGCAUCAUGCUGGCCACCAUGAACCUCGAACUCCAAAAGUCCUAUGAGGACAUGUAUCCAUAUGAAAUGCAUCAGGAUUUGCUGGACAGGUAUCACCAGAGCGCGAGGCAAGAGCGCUAUGAGAUCAUUACUAACAUGAUCACCGCUAAGAUGGGGAGUGGAGAAUCCCUAACCUCUCAUUUGCAGAAAAUGCAGAGGUAUGUUGAUCGUCUUCUCAAACUUAAUGUUAAGUUUGAUGAGGAUUUGGCUAUCGACAUAAUCCUCCACUCCUUGCCCUCCUGCUACAAUCAGUUUAGGAUGACCUACCAUAUGAACAAAGAGGAGGUCUCCUUGAGCAAGCUCCAAGGACUCUUGAGGACUGCUGAGAGCAACCUCAAAGACAAAUCCGUUGCACCGUCACCUGCUGUGGCCGCUCCUGUGAUGGCGAUAGGUCAAGGAAAGGGUAAAAAGAGGAAGGCUCCAUGUAAGAGCCACCAUAAGGGGAAACCCCGUGAUGGUUCAUCCUCAAGUGGGACCAAAGCAGGCCCCAUUAAACCCUCUUCCGACCCUAAAGAAGCAGAGUGCUUCUACUGCCACCAAAAGGGCCACUGGAAGCGAAGCUGCCCACAAUAUCUGCAGGACAUAAGAGAUGGGAAGAUCAAGCCCACAUUUGCAGGUAUGUAUUCUAUUAAAUCUAAUAACUCAUCAUUUGCUACUUCAUGGGUUCUUGAUACAGGAUGUGGUUACCACAUUUGUUCUGAUUUGCAGGGCCUAAAAAGAAGUAGGGAGAUGGAGCAUGGGAAGAUGAACCUGAUUAUGGGAAACAGAAGAUCUUCGCCUGUGACCAAAGUCGGUGUUUAUUCUUUAGUGUUAAGUAAUGGGUUAGGAAUAGAUUUAGAGAAUUGCUGUUAUUCGCCAGAUAUGGCAAGAAACAUUAUUUCUUUUCAUGGGUUGUUUAGACAAGGUUUCAGAUAUUCUUUUGAUAAUAGUAAUGGUUCUAUUAAUGUUUAUUUGAAUGGUGUCUUUUAUUUCAAUGCAUUACCUUGUAAUGGGAUUUAUGAAUCAGUGAUGAUUGUUGAUAAUUUUGGAAAUAAUGUUUUGAAUAUUGAUUCGUCUACUAGUCUAGACAAAGCAUGCUUGUGGCAUUGUCGCCUUGGCCAUGUCAACAAGAAACGCAUAGCCCAACUCCAAAAGGAUGGAGUGUUGGAGUCAUUCGACCUUAGGGACGAUGACACGUGUGAGUCUUGUUUACUUGGGAAGAUGACCAAGUCACCCUUUACUGGCACUUGUGAAAGGGGUGAGGGUUUAUUGGAUCUCAUACACACCGAUGUGUGUGGGCCCUUUAGAUCCACCACAAGGGAUGCUUGCCGCUUCUACGUGACUUUUACAGAUGAUUAUAGCAGAUAUGGAUAUAUCUACUUGAUCAAGCAAAAGUCGGAAACCUUUGAAAAGUUCAAAGAGUUUAAGAAUGAAGUGGAGAAUCAGCUGGGCAGGAAAAUCAAGAUGCUUCGGUCAGACCGAGGAGGAGAGUACCUAAG
rnacentral:lncRNA from 1 species